AUUUUACUGAUUUCUUUAAAAUAUUGAGGCUAUUUCUCUUGAUAGUAAAACCUGAAUUGAGCACCAGUAAUUUACAAUAAAGGAUCUCCCUUCCACCUUAUUCUUUUGUCUUAUUUCUCCACUCAGAAUUCAAGAAGCGAGAAGGGUGACACUGAGUUCCAGCAAGGUCAACAUCAUUAGUACGGCUGGUGGUGACAGCUCCCGUACAAUUCCAUGAACUGCAUUCCUUAAACACUGUGAGGACACCUGUUGCCCAGUCACACAAGUUCACAUCAGCUUUGUAGGAUCACAGCCAUCUGAUGCUGAGUACUGUUUUGUGCCUACAACUGACAUCCAGAGAGAAUCACAGCCAAAGACUUUAACUUCUGG
rnacentral:lncRNA from 1 species